rnacentral:rRNA from 1 species
UACGUAGGGUGCGAGCGUUAAUCGGAAUUACUGGGCGUAAAGCGUGCGCAGGCGGUUCGUCGUGUCCGAUGUGAAAGCCUCGGGCUCAACCUGGGAAUGGCAUUGGAAACUGGCGGACUCGAGUGUGGCAGAGGGGGGUGGAAUUCCGCGUGUAGCAGUGAAAUGCGUAGAGAUGCGGAGGAACACCGAUGGCGAAGGCAGCCCCCUGGGCUAACACUGACGCUCAGGCACGAAAGCGUGGGGAGCAAACAGG